rnacentral:rRNA from 1 species
GACGAACGCUGGCGGCGUGCCUAAUACAUGCAAGUAGAACGCUGAAGAGAGGAGCUUGCUCUUCUUGGAUGAGUUGCGCACGGGUGAGUAACGCGUAGGUAACCUGCCUUGUAGCGGGGGAUAACUAUUGGAAACGAUAGCUAAUACCGCAUAACAAUGGAUGACACAUGUCAUUUAUUUGAAAGGGGCAAUUGCUCCACUACAAGAUGGACCUGCGUUGUAUUAGCUAGUAGGUGAGGUAAUGGCUCACCUAGGCGACGAUACAUAGCCGACCUGAGAGGGUGGUCGGCCACACUGGGACUGAGACACGGCCCAGACUCCUACGGGAGGCAGCAGUAGGGAAUCGUCGGCAAUGGGGGCAACCCUGACCGAGCAACGCCGCGUGAGUGAAGAAGGUUGUCGGAUCGUAAAGCUCGGUUGUAAGUCAAGAACGGGUGUGAGAGUGGAAAGUUCACACUGUGACGGUAGCUGACCAGAAAGGGACGGCUAACUACGUG